AAAAACCCCCCCCCCGGGCCCCGGGCCCCAAGGCCCCCCCCCCCCUUAACAAACCGGGAAGGGAAAAGGGGGUCGGGGGCGACAAAGGGAACUUGGUCCGCACGCAGCCACCGAAAUUGCAGUGCGAGGCUGUAAGGAGGCGCUGUGGCCUGCAGAAGAGCCUCGGGGCCCCAGGCCGCCUUAGCUCGGGUUUCUGGGGCUGCGGUAAGCAUCGAAUCACUUAUCCUUUUACUCUUUCCACCCAGGGUGUCCGCUGAAAAUGAGAAGUAUCCAGUCCCCGACGGUUGGCUGAAGCUAUGCGAGGAUUAUAUCCUGCUCCGCGUUGGUGCGAGCAUUCGGAGCGACCCCUCAGUUUGGGGAAUCCAGAGCGUUUUUAGCAUCUUCAGCUGUGAAAUCCUCUGGGAGGCUGCAGCAUGGCAAAGUUUUGAGGUACUAACAGGUGCUAUUUGCUGCAGGAAGACACCUACCCCUCCCAAGGUAGGAGAGCUGGGGGGGGAGGGGAGUUUAUUGGAGGCUGUCAGUCUUUUACUGUCUUAGUUUGCAUGUUUGGGCCACUCACGAAAGCAUCCACCCCACAGUAAACAGUUACCUACGUUCUCCCCUACGUGCUUGUCUGUAGACGGAAAACGUGUAUUGCUUAAAUUAAUAUAUUGUGUUAAGAUAUGAUAUGUACUGGAAAAAAUAAUAUGAAUUGAUGUUUCUGGAAUAAAUCACCCUGAUGCCCAAUUACCGACUCAUUCGUCUGCGUGCUGUUUUUCCUGUAUGCAGAAUGUCGGCCUCCUCCCUGUGGCUGUGGGGUGCCUUGACUGUCCUCAGAAUGUAGGACUGUUCUAGCAGCUGUGGCCUCCUGUGUGCCCAGCUCCUUAGGGAGUUGGACGGGUCUUGGUUUGGGAGUUAAAUCGGGCGCAUUAGAUCCUGGGCCCCCCGAGCAGUCAUGUCUUACGGCAUGAACGCAGAUGGUAUUGGGAGAGCUGUUUGUAACUGCGAGAGCUUUCCUCUUAACCCGGGGAAGGCGCUUGAGUGUCCCUGUAAGUCCAGAAGAGUCGGCCAAGAGCAGGGAAAUACGGGCAAGACGAGCGUGACCAUCCCGUGGCAGAGUGGCACGGGCUGAGAUAACGUCCUUCCCAGGAGCCUCCACCCCUCAAGGUGCCGUCUUGUCUUUGCACCCCUGUCCUGCUCCAGUCUGCUGAAAUACUGCCCGGAACUGGCUUCGAAAUACUGCCCGGAGCUGACUUCUUAGCAUUGAGUCACCUCCCGUUUUCUCUGUGACUGGACCCCAAGACAGUUAAUUCUCCUACACAGUAAAGGGCCUGGGGUGACGGGUGUGCUGGGCGCCUUUGUGGUGAUGGGAAGGAGGCCUGGGAUCCACAGGAGAAGACUCCAGAAGGUUUGUGUCACUGCCUGGAGUAUACCCCAGCUGUCCCCUGCUCUGUCACUCAGAUCUGGCCCCAUGGAGUUGGCCCCUACAAGCCUGGACCUGGUGUGCUGGACUUGUUUUCCCCAAAGAACACAUGUCUAAAAUAGCUUUUGGUAUCGUGGCUGGGCCUUAGUGUUCGUGGCUUUCUUUUCUGGAUUGUGUGAGGAAGAGCUCAAGCAGGUGGGGUCCUGUCCUUCAAAGACGGAACGUUCAGGACUAGCAAGGGAGGAUGAAAUAUGUGUGGUUAAGUGUCGUUUUAAGCACAUAACAAAGCGACCAUAAACACCUCUCUCG
ensembl:lincRNA